rnacentral:rRNA from 1 species
UGCAGUCGAACGAAGCCUUCGGGCUUAGUGGCGGACGGGUGAGUAACGCGUCGAUAAUCUCCCUUCAGGAUGGGGACAACCGUUGGAAACGACCGCUAAUCCCCAAUGUGCCGCAAGGUGAAAUGGGUUUCCGCCUGAAGAAGAGCUCGCGUCCGAUUAGUUAGUUGGUGAGGUAAGAGCUUACCAAGGCAGCGAUCGGUAGCUGGUCUGAGAGGAUGAGCAGCCACACUGGGACUGAGACACGGCCCAGACUCCUACGGGAGGCAGCAGUGGGGAAUUUUCCGCAAUGGGCGAAAGCCUGACGGAGCAACGCCGCGUGUGGGAAGAAGGCUCUUGGGCUGUCAACCACUUUUCUCAGGGAAGAAGAUCUGACGGUACCUGAGGAAUCAGCCUCGGCUAACUCCGUGCCAGCAGCCGCGGUAAUACGGAGGAGGCAAGCGUUAUCCGGAAUUAUUGGGCGUAAAGCGUCCGCAGGGGGCGCAUCAAGUCUGCUGUUAAAGGCUGGAGCUUAACUCCGGUAGAGCAGUGGAAACUGGUGCGCUAGAGGGCGACAGGGGUAGAGGGAAUUCCCAGUGUAGCGGUGAAAUGCGUAGAGAUUGGGAAGAACACCGGUGGCGAAAGCGCUCUACUGGGUCGCACCUG